AAGAAUUGAAGCUCUGAAGAAUUGAAGAUUAAAACUUCUACAAGCUCUCUAGACGUGCAAGUUCGUAUCAACCUCGAGAUCAACAUCUUCUGAAAGAUUGAAGACUUGGAAGAUUGAACUUUCCUUGAAUUUCAGAAGAUCAAAAUUUAAAUCGACUUGUAACUACAACAUCCUGAAGACUGAAGACCAAUAAGUUCUAAAGUUUUUAUCUUAUAUUCGAGAGAAAGCAUCAAAAGAGUAAAUACUAGAGAUUGUAUUCACAAUAUUCAUCAAUAUAUCAAAGUUCAAUUCCACGAAUUACAUUUCUUCGAAAUCUCGUGUGAACAGUUGUAAUUAUGUAUCAAACGCCUGUUAUUAAUAAAGUAUAUGUUUUGAUAUGUAUUUAUUAUACUUGUCGUUUAGGUUGAUCACCGUUGCGUUUUGAGUUUUGUUGAUAGUUUAUAAGGAGUUGAGAAUUAGAUUAUGCGAUAAGAAAAUUUCAAACUUGUAACAAACUCGCAUCCUAUUCCUACUACUUCGGAGUUAUCGUUGCAAUAUAGUUUGGGGUGUGACAUCGACUCCCUCUGAGCUUUUAAUCUGCUGGUGCUUACAACUCCUAUAACAAUCACAGAAUAGGCCAUAUUCUCAGUGUUACUAAAACAAGGCACGAAAAACCUUAUCUAUUUAGUACAAAUGUUUUAGGUUAUAACAUAAAUAUGAACUACUAACAUUUCUACCACAUACCAUUCAAGUGACAUCGUAUGACAUUGAAUAUUAGUUUACUAGAUUGAGUUAAAGUAAUCUAAAUGUUAAAUACAAUACUUUUUAUUUUAUUAAAAAAAUAAUUUGUUUUUACAAAGUACAAACUACAUUGAUGUAUGAGAUUUAAAACACCAAAACCAGCCAUGUAUACACACAAUUACAACUUACUAAAAAAUAAAAAUUUAAUGAUAAUACGUGAAUUUAACUAUUCUAAUUUAAUAACCUUAAAAAAAAACAAUUCUAAUAUAAUAAAAUGGUGUUAUUUAAAUAUAUACUUUGUUUGAAUCAACUCUGCAUACUUAAAGUUUUGUGGUAAAGAUGAAUAGCAAAAUGGUGCACAUGACAACACCAAUAUAUAAAAAAAGUUAAAAAUACAAUUUAUUGAAAUAAAAUUAAAAAAAAAACUUAUUAGGUUGUCUUUGGUGUACAAGUUCAAAAUGAAAUGAUUGUUUGAAUAUUACAAAUGCUUUUGGAAGUUUGAAUUUUCAUACACUUUUAUUGGAAGGGGUAAUUUUGAAUUCAUCCAUUUAGUUAAUUUGUUUAGAUUUUUUUUUUACUAAAUUAAAUUUGUAUAAAUUUUUUAAUUGAUUUAGUUUAAUUCACAUUUAAUUUCUUAAUAUAUCGAGCUUAAAAGUGUAUGGAAUUUAGGUUAGAGAGGUCCAAAACAGUUAUUUUAACUAAAAGGGGAAUGUGUUAUUUUGUAAGAGGAAAGGUAAAAAAGAACAAAGAGAAAAGAAAAGAAAAGAAAGGGAAGUUAUUACCUUUGUAUUGAUUAAGCGUAUUUGUGAGUAUAUACGUGUAAAUAAGCCACGUGUCUCUCCGGUGAAAAGAAAGACGGCUUCUUCCUUCGUCUUCUUUUUCAUUUGGGUUCUUCUUCGAUUUCAUAAUCUCCUCUUGAUCUUCUCUUC
rnacentral:lncRNA from 1 species